CUAAUUACAAAGAGUAAGACUAGUAGCAGCAAUCAUUUAAUCAGAGAAACUUUUUUAUUGAGCUGAGAGAAAAGUUUAAACAGAACUGUGAAUUUCAUCUUAUUAGUAGAAUCUAAUCCAUUCCGGUAUUCACCGUUAGCGAAAUUUAAAGUGUGGACAUUUUAUGUACAAACUAGGGUGGUACCGCGAAGCUUCGUCCCUUUU
rnacentral:ncRNA from 1 species